GGGAGCGGAUGGGUCCUGGUGGGCUUUGCGGACUUCAAAUCCGUUGGCCCCGACCCUUCGGUCGGGGCGGUGGGUUCGACUCCCUCUCGCUCCCGCCA
rnacentral:tRNA from 1 species